AUGAUGCACGGGCCUUGCAGAGUGGCAAAUACGAAAUCAUCAUGCAUGACGGAUAACAGAUGCACGAAGCAUUUCCCAAAAAGAUACACUAUCGAUACCACAAUAGAUGAGGUUGGCUUUCCAGUAUAUAGAAGACGAGACAAUGGAAGGCAGGUCAAAAAGAGAAAUGCAGUGCUUGACAACAGAUUUGUCGUGCCUUACAACCGAAAUCUAUUGGUCAAAUUCCAAGCUCACAUAAAUGUCGAGUGGUGCAACAGGUCCAGGUCAAGCAAGUUUCUAUUUAAGCACAUCCUUAUAGACGAUGACCAAGUAACAACCUUGCUCAAAGAAAGGGAUGUCGCAAAUGAUUAUGAUGAAAUCAGGAAAUACCUAGAACUUAAUUUCUCUCAAAGUCGAAUUGGAUCGAGAAUGAAUCACAAGCUCACUCUUAUUAGGAAAUUUCAUGGUAGUUUAUUGGUAAUAAGUUCACUGAGUGGAUGGAGCCAAACAAAAUAUAUGAUCAAGGAAAAUAAUUAA
rnacentral:rRNA from 1 species